rnacentral:rRNA from 1 species
GGCCAGCAGCCGCGGUAAUACGUAGGGUGCAAACGUUAUCCGGAUUUACUGGGCGUAAAGCGCUCGUAGGUGGACAGAAAAGUCAAAUGUGAAAGACCCAGGCUCAACCUGGGGAACGCAUCUGAAACUUUCUGACUUGAGGUGUGCAGGGGAAGAUGGAACUUACGGUGGAGCAGUGAAAUGCGUAGAUAUCGUAAGGAACGCCAAUGGUGAAGACAGUCUUCUGGGCACUACCUGACACUGAGGAGCGAAAGCGUGGGGAGCGAACGGGAUUAGAUACCCCGGUAGUCCACGCCGUAAACGAUGCAUACUAGGAAUUUGGAGAAUCGACCCUCCGAGUUUCGAAGCUAACGCGUUAAGUAUGCCGCCUGGGUAGUACGGCCGCAAGGCUAAAACUCAAAGGAAUUGACGGGGGCCCGCACAAGU